rnacentral:rRNA from 1 species
UACAGAGGGUGCAAGCGUUAAUCGGAAUUACUGGGCGUAAAGCGCUCGUAGGCGGUUGUUUAAGUCGAUCGUGAAAGCCCUGGGCUUAACCUGGGAAUUGCGUUCGAUACUGGGCAUCUAGAGUAUGGUAGAGGAUAGUGGAAUUCCCGGUGUAGCAGUGAAAUGCGUAGAUAUCGGGAGGAACACCAGUGGCGAAGGCGGCUAUCUGGACGGUAACUGACGCUGAGACGCGAAAGCGUGGGGAGCAAACAGG